rnacentral:lncRNA from 1 species
AGUGCCCCCCCUUUUUUUUUCAGAUAAAGGGGUGUGAACCUGCCUGGGGAUGAGGCCUGAUCUUGUGCAAAGUGGACUUAGCUUCGUGGGGCUGACAGCUCUGGUCCAGGGUGGUAUGUAAU